rfam:Schistosoma mansoni, Puerto Rico, WGS project CABG01000000 data, contig: 0167
AUUCAGCUGAUGAGUCCUAAACAGGACGAAAUACGCGUCCUGGAU